GGAUGGUAUGCUUCCGCUAUGAAGUCGGCUAAGUGCUGACCCUUAACAGAACCUUGAGGCUCAUACUGUAAACCGAAUUCAGAUAGCUCGAUCGCCCAUGCCACAAUUCUGCCGGCUAAGUCAGGCUUGCGAAGGAUCUUCGCGAUCGGAUGAUUCGUCCGGAUGACAACCUGAUGACUAUGAAAAUACGGCCGGAGACGUCGCGCC
rnacentral:lncRNA from 1 species